rnacentral:other from 1 species
AUAACCCUUCUGUGUUCGCGAUAUUGCCCUUACGUUUUGAGCCAAUACAUUUUAAAAGGGUCCUUAACUUAAUUAGAAAUAACGCGAUAGGCCUGAGCCAAGGCGGCGUUUCUAGGUAGGGACCCACCUGCUUCUGCAGGUUCAAAACUCAGCAGUACACGGCAUAUGCGGGGUUUUU